CACGUAGGGCGCAAGCGUUGUCCGGAAUUAUUGGGCGUAAAGAGCGUGUAGGCGGCCAGACAGGUCAGCUGUGAAAACUCGAGGCUCAACCUCGAGACGUCGGUUGAAACCGUCUGGCUAGAGUCCGGAAGAGGAGAGUGGAAUUCCCGGUGUAGCGGUGAAAUGCGCAGAUAUCGGGAAGAACACCCGUGGCGAAGGCGGCUCUCUGGGACGGUACUGACGCUGAGACGCGAAAGCGUGGGGAGCGAACAGG
rnacentral:rRNA from 1 species